GUUAAUGUUUAUAAUGACGCCAUCUUAGUUGGCUCAUUCUACCUCCCUGCAGCUCAUUUUUUAUCCUUUUUUAGAGAGAAUCUGGAGUCUGGGUUGAUAGGUGUUUUUUAGGACAACAUGUGGGUGGUGUUAGGCCACGCGCCGAUGACUAAUCAAAUGGUAGCUUGUUUGUAUACAUUUAAGAGUUCAGUUCCUUCAUUUUCAUCUUAUUUAUCACAUUUUUUAUUUUGUAUCCAUUCCCAGUUUUUAGUAGUAGUGAUGUGUGUUAACCGUGCGGUGAAUAAUUGAUUGAUUGUUUAUUGUUGCAAGAUUCGCCGCCUGCCUUUCCUGCAGACACCACCUCGAACCUUUCCUUGAGUGGAACAUCCUCAGGGGUAACAGGCCCCUCGACGGCAUACAUCUAGAAAUUGAAACACGGGUUUUGCUCCUUCUCCAACCAUCCCUGAUACCCUACGCCCUUGUCCACCCAGCAGUGCAUGGCUACCAGGGGUAACAGGUAUGUUUGGCCGUGUAUUUUAUAGCGGCGGACGGGAUGCGAACCUGUGUGCUUCUGAAAGCUGCUCCAGCACGCCGCCACUCAGCCACCGCCUCCCUCUUGCUUAGGGAACAAAUCUCAAUUCAAGGUAUUUUUAAGUCCUUU